rnacentral:rRNA from 1 species
AUUGAACGCUGGCGGCGUGCCUUACACAUGCAAGUCGAACGGUAACGGGCCUUCGGGUGCCGACGAGUGGCGAACGGGUGAGUAAUGUAUCGGAACGUACCUUUCAGUGGGGGAUAACGUAGCGAAAGUUACGCUAAUACCGCAUAUUCUGUGAGCAGGAAAGCAGGGGAUCGCAAGACCUUGCGCUGAUUGAGCGGCCGAUAUCAGAUUAGCUAGUUGGUGAGGUAAAGGCUCACCAAGGCGACGAUCUGUAGCGGGUCUGAGAGGAUGAUCCGCCACACUGGAACUGAGACACGGUCCAGACUCCUACGGGAGGCAGCAGUGGGGAAUUUUGGACAAUGGGGGCAACCCUGAUCCAGCCAUGCCGCGUGAGUGAAAAAGGCCUUCGGGUUGUAAAGCUCUUUCAGCCGGGAAGAAAUCGCAUCAGCUAAUACCUGGUGUGGAUGACGGUACCGGAAUAAGAAGCACCGGCUAACUACGUGCCAGCCGCCGCUGUAACAC